rnacentral:rRNA from 1 species
GUAGGGUGAACCUGCGGAGGGAUCAUUACCGAGUUUACAACUCCCAAACCCAAUGUGAACGUUACCAAACUGUUGCCUCGGCGGGGUCACGCCCCGGGUGCGUCGCAGCCCCGGAACCAGGCGCCCGCCGGAGGAACCAACCAAACUCUUUCUGUAGUCCCCUCGCGGACGUAUUUCUUACAGCUCUGAGCAAAAAUUCAAAAUGAAUCAAAACUUUCAACAACGGAUCUCUUGGUUCUGGCAUCGAUGAAGAACGCAGCGAAAUGCGAUAAGUAAUGUGAAUUGCAGAAUUCAGUGAAUCAUCGAAUCUUUGAACGCACAUUGCGCCCGCCAGUAUUCUGGCGGGCAUGCCUGUCCGAGCGUCAUUUCAACCCUCGAACCCCUCCGGGGGAUCGGCGUUGGGGAUCGGGACCCCUCACACGGGUGCCGGCCCCGAAAUACAGUGGCGGUCUCGCCGCAGCCUCUCCUGCGCAGUAGUUUGCACAACUCGCACCGGGAGCGCGGCGCGUCCACGUCCGUAAAACACCCAACUUUCUGAAAUGUUGACCUCGGAUCAGGUAGGAAUACCCGCUGAACUUAAGCAUAUCAAUAAGCGG